rnacentral:rRNA from 1 species
AAAACCAAUGCCCUUCGGGGCUCUCUUGGUGAUUCAUGAUAACUUCUCGAAUCGCACGGCCCCGCGCCGGCGAUGGUUCAUUCAAAUUUCUUCCCUAUCAACUUUCGAUGCUACGGUAUUGUCCUAGCAUGGUUGCAACGGGUGACGGAGGGUUAGGGCUCGACCCCGGAGAAGGAGCCUGAGAAACGGCUACUACAUCCAAGGAAGGCAGCAGGCGCGCAAAUUACCCAAUCCCGACUCGGGGAGGUAGUGACGAUAAAUACCGAUACAGGGCUCUUUUGGGUCCUGUAAUUGGAAUGAGUACAAUUCAAAUCCCUUAACGAGGAACAAUUGGAGGGCAAGUCUGGUGCCAGCAGCCGCGGUAAUUCCAGCUCCAAUAGCGUAUAUUAAGUUGUUGCAGUUAAAAAGCUCGUAGUUGAAUUUCAGGCCUGGCUGGACGGUCCGCCCUUCGGUGAGUACUGUCUUGGUCGGGUCCUACCUUCUGGCGAAGCGCAUGGCCUUAACCGGCCGUGGCGGGGAACCAGGACUUUUAC